rnacentral:tRNA from 1 species
UGGCUCAGUGGUUGAGAGCACUGGCUGCUUUUCCAGAGAUCCUGAGUUCAAAUCUCAG